AGUCAAUGCGCGCGUAUCUGUAAAAUGUACGGUUAAAGGGCUAUUUUGCAUUUUUUGCCGAUUCGCACACAUUGGAAUGUGGCUAACUCCUCCUAAGGCUUUCGUCCCACUGACACCAAAUUUGCUCAGGCCAAUCAACACCCCAUGGCCAUUCAAAGUUGUAAAAAUCAUGACGCUGCACCCCACGGUUUACGUUCUAGGGGGCGCCAAAGAUGACCCAAAUAUCCACAUUCUUAAAAGAAUCCACAUCCCCCAACCCCCAUGGCAGGAGAAACAGUCAAGUUUUUCCUGCCCAUCACUCAAUGGCUCAAUCGCAUCACUCUCCCGGCAACACCGUAACGAGGAGCAACCUGCCAUUUGGAUAUAUCCUAGCUGUGUUUGUGCCCUCACUCAUGGUCCAGACUUUUUCAAAUAGGACAUGAAGUUUGUCUGCAGCGAGUGUUUUGGUAGAAACUGCGCCUCCCAUUCAUUAUAAUGGGAAAUGACCACAGACAAGUGCGCACACCAUCUUUGGACCUUGAGUGUGACGCGAUCGGGAGGGGGAGGCGGUCGCGCUGGGGGCGGCGCGACGCGGCUCGGGCCCGACAGUGCCCCACCGGGGUCCUAGUUAUUUUUCUGCCCCUUUGAACUGGAAAAUGGCCAACUUCCCACUGGUGAAAAGUCAUGAAAUUUGGCAGGACGACCGGGCCUGGUGAAAAAUUCGAUAUUCUGAAGUCGCCCAAAAAAUCAAAUGCAAAAUGGCUCCAUAGCGCCCCCUAAGGUGAAAAAUUCACAUGAUUGAGUGUCACGCCUGUACGCUUUGUCAAAAUGACACAAAAUUUGACACACACGUGUAUCUCAAUAAGAUCUACAAAAAAGUCAGUGCGGGCGUAUCUGUCAAAUGUACGGUUAAAGGUUUAUUUCGCAUUUUUUGCCGAUCCGUACACAUUGGAAUUUCGCUAACUCCUCCGAAGGUUUUCGUUCCACCGGCACCACAUUUGCUCAGGCCAAUCUACACCCCAUGGCCAAUAAAAG